rnacentral:rRNA from 1 species
GAUGAACGCUGGCGGCGUGCCUAAUACAUGCAAGUCGAGCGAAUGGAUUAAGAGCUUGCUCUUAUGAAGUUAGCGGCGGACGGGUGAGUAACACGUGGGUACCUGCCCAUAAGACUGGGAUAACUCCGGGAAACCGGGGCUAAUACCGGAUAACAUUUUGAACCGCAUGGUUCGAAAUUGAAAGGCGGCUUCGGCUGUCACUUAUGGAUGGACCCGCGUCGCAUUAGCUAGUUGGUGAGGUAACGGCUCACCAAGGCAACGAUGCGUAGCCGACCUGAGAGGGUGAGCGGCCACACUGGGACUGAGACACGGCCCCGACGCCUACGGGAGGCAGCAGUAGGGGAUCUUCCGCAAUGGACGAAAGUCUGACGGAGCAACGCCGCGUGAGUGAUGAAGGCUUUCGGGUCGUAAAACUCUGUUGUUAGGGAAGAACAAGUGCUAGUUGAAUAAGCUGGCACCUUGACGGUACCUAACCAGAAAGCCACGGCUAACUACGUGCCAGCCGCCGCGGUAA